UAGCCGUAAACGAUACUCGCUAGGUGUCGGCCACGGUGCGACCGUUGUCGGUGCCGUAGGGAAGCCGUGAAGCGAGCCACCUGGGAAGUACGGCCGCAAGGCUGAAACUUAAAGGAAUUGGCGGGGGAGCACUACAACGGGUGGAGCCUGCGGUUUAAUUGGACUCAACGCCGGAAAACUCACCGGGGGCGACAGCAAUAUGUAGGUCAAGCUAAAGACUUUACUUGAUGAUCUGAGAGGUGGUGCAUGGCGUCAGUGACU
rnacentral:rRNA from 1 species